CUUUGGGAGAUUAUGAUUUGAGACCUUGAGAUUCAUCUUAUACCUUUGACUUUGGACUUCUCUAUGAAGACUUAGCUUGGUUAUUUUUGUUUCAUCUGAUGCAUAAUUAUUCUUUGCUUAUUUGGCUUGCUUGAGGCUUAAUCCAAAAGAGGGAAUUCUUGAUUUAUUUAUGUCAUAAAGCUUGAUAUCUCUUGGUUAGAUCUUUUCUCACUAGCUUUUACUUUACACUAUAGGAUAGUCUCUUC
rnacentral:lncRNA from 1 species